UACAGAGGUCUCAAGCGUUGUUCGGAUUCAUUGGGCGUAAAGGGUGCGUAGGUGGCGCGGUAAGUCGGGUGUGAAAUCUCGGAGCUUAACUCCGAAAUUGCAUUCGAUACUGCCGUGCUCGAGGACUGGAGAGGAGACUGGAAUUCAUGGUGUAGCAGUGAAAUGCGUAGAGAUCAUGAGGAAGACCAGUGGCGAAGGCGGGUCUCUGGACAGUUCCUGACGCUGAGGCACGAAGGUCAGGGGAGCAAACGGG
rnacentral:rRNA from 1 species